AGUUUUCCUUUGGUAAAGCAAAAAGGUUCAUAGAAGCACACACCUUUUCCCUCAGCAUCCAGUUGCCGAAGAAAUGUUAGGAGAUGGCAGCAAAUAUGUAGGUUCUGCACAUGAGACUUUGGGUUGCUUGUAACCCGCCAUGUCACAGAUAGGGUGCCUGUUAGAAAUCUUCUAUGGGGGUAACCAACAAGCGACAAAUAUUCAGUCUUGAG